GACGAACGCUGGCGGCGUGCUUAACACAUGCAAGUCGAACGGAAAGGCCCUGCUUUUGUGGGGUGCUCGAGUGGCGAACGGGUGAGUAACACGUGAGUAACCUGCCCUUGACUUUGGGAUAACUUCAGGAAACUGGGGCUAAUACCGGAUAGGAGCUCCUGCUGCAUGGUGGGGGUUGGAAAGUUUCGGCGGUUGGGGAUGGACUCGCGGCUUAUCAGCUUGUUGGUGGGGUAGUGGCUUACCAAGGCUUUGACGGGUAGCCGGCCUGAGAGGGUGACCGGCCACAUGGGGACUGAGAUACGGCCCAGACUCCUACGGGAGGCAGCAGUGGGGAAUAUGGCACAAUGGGCGGAAGCCUGAUGCAGCAACGCCGCGUGCGGGAGGACGGCCUUCGGGUGGUAAACCGCUUUCGCCUGUGACGAAGCGUGAGGGACGGGAAUGGGUAAAGAAACACCGGCGAACUACGG
rnacentral:rRNA from 1 species